rnacentral:rRNA from 1 species
GAACGGGAAACAUUUCAUUGAAGCUUCGGCGGAUUUGGUCUGUUGCUAGUGGCGGACGGGUGAGUAACGCGUGGGUAACCUGCCUUAUACUGGGGGAUAACAGCCAGAAAUGGCUGCUAAUACCGCAUAAGCGCACAGGGCCGCAUGGUCCGGUGUGAAAAACUCCGGUGGUAUAAGAUGGACCCGCGUUGGAUUAGCUAGUUGGCAGGGCAGCGGCCUACCAAGGCGACGAUCCAUAGCCGGCCUGAGAGGGUGAACGGCCACAUUGGGACUGAGACACGGCCCAGACUCCUACGGGAGGCAGCAGUGGGGAAUAUUGCACAAUGGGGGAAACCCUGAUGCAGCGACGCCGCGUGAACGGACAAGACGUAUUCCGGUAUGUAAACUUCUAUCAGCAAGGAAGAUGAUGACGGUACUUGACUAAGAAGCCCCCGGCUAACUACGUGCCAGCAGACGCGGUAAUACGUAGGGGGCAAGCCGUUAUCCGGAUU